rnacentral:rRNA from 1 species
GGAGGCGGCGGUCGGUGAGCAGGGCUAGCCCUAGCUGGAGCUAGGGGACGGAGGAGGGAGGUUGCGGUGUGGUCUUGUGUGCGUAGUGGGCGUGGGUCGGGGACUAGGGGUCGAGAGAGGGAAGCAACAGGAGGACCGCGGCGGUGAGCGUCCCUCUCUCUCCUCGUCUCGGGAGAACGGCGUGGAAGGAUACGAAGAGGAUGACACCUCGAGACGGAACGGCCGCUGGGGAGGUUAGUGGAACGACGGCAAGGGGCGCGAGCAAGCGGAGGAGGGAGUUGGUGCGGCCGGUAGCCUCGGCAACGGCCGCCGGCGGGGCAGCUGGGCUGGUCAGGAGCGCAGAGGCCGAAGCAGAGGCUGGGAUCUGCGGUCUAGUUUGGCCGGGCACAGGUCGUGGUGGUGGUGGUACGUGGCGCGCGGUCGUUGGAGGACGGAGCGUCGGGCUGGAGGACAGGCUGCGGCGACAAGGGCGCCAUUACUGGAGGGGAAGCCGGAGACAACGGCGUGGAGACGCCAAGCGCCAACGGUAGAAGGAGCUCAGGCUCGAGCUCGGGACGGGCUGCGAAGGUACCUGUCGGUGGAGCGGACGUAGGAGAGUAGCCGGCGGAGGAGACGAGGUCGGUGCCCGUAGAGAACGGGCUCUGCUGCGGAGACAAAACGGAUGUCGUCUGGGCGUAGAGGACGUGGAACCGGCACCAACGGCGACGGAUCUGGUGGAAGUCGGCCCACGGGGCGGAGGACGAAGCCGGUUUCGAGGAAGCGGAGGAACGACGUCGGUGAGCUCCGGGACCACAACGAAGCAAAAGCUAGCAGUUCUGGCUGAUGUGGACGACUACAAAGUUCAUGGAACCUUGCAGAUGCGGAAGCACCUAAAGCGGUUCAAGUGGCCUACGGAUCAUGCUGAUGUUCUGGCCUUGCGGUUGAUGCACCUAUGCGGUUCAAGACGAAGCUUGUACAUACCGACGUGCUGCUGGGCGGUUCUGGGACUUGUUGAUGGCGGCGGCGGCACAUGGUGAUGGCAGCGUUCUUCGAACUGGCCGCUCAGGUUUCUGGGGUUCAUGGUGCUGUGGCUGCUGAACUUGUAGAUGCCUUUGCACAUGUUGAUGAAGGUGAUGCUGGGUGCUCAUGGUGAUGGCAGUGGUUCUAGCGCUCAUGGAGAUGGCAGCGGUACCUGGCUAUCAUGGUGAUGAAGGUGAUGGCAGCGCUCUUGCUGAUGAAGGUGAUACUGGGCACAUGGCGAUGAAGGAGAUGUGGCGAGGCUUGAGCUUGACGAGACUUUUACGUGUGAAGUUUCCUAAAGGCCGUUCUACUGGUAAUGGGAGCUAUAGUGAAGAUAGAAACGAACGAUCAACGAGGCAAGAUAACAAUACGACGCGAUGGAUAGUGAACAAAUGGUACGGAGGGUAUAACGGUACAGUCGGAGAUUGGAAAAGUGGGAAGGAUUGUUUGACAACGAACCGAUACAAUGGCGAAACGAGUCGGAAAGAAUAUCGCAACAAUCAACGUCCACUUCAACUUCUAACGAGGUACUACCUAUCCUAAUACAACCCUAUAGUGUUAUAGAGCAUAAAUUAAUUACGUAGAUAUAUGAACCAUUUCCCACCUUCUGAGCCGGAAUACGGACCACAAAACAAGGUGAGAACGGCGGGAUCAAAGACAGUAUGGCCACUAUACAAGAGCCUAAGACACAAGGAAUGCGCCAACCCACUAAAUACCCUGGGGGAACUGUCAAGCGAAACUUAUUUUGAGGAGGUCGUUCCGGGUUGGAACCAAAAUUGUAAACGGUGGAUUCGGAAAAAGGGAACCCAAGACGUCUGAGUUCCCAGUAGAAAUAAAAUUGGGGGCCCGGUUACGAGGAAGCUCACAACCAGGCUUGGCCCGUCUGACACCCCGGUGGUGCCCCGUUGAGCUCCCGACCAAAAUGAGUAUCCGACUGGAUAGGCAACACGGGACUCUUGCUCUAUACACGUCGAGGAUAGCCCUAAACAGUCGUGUAACCCGCAGAAACGACCAGAACAAAAUGGUAACAGUUUUACAGAACAUUUGGCCCUAAGGCUCAGACUAGCCCAGAAGGAUCCUCUUCCUUAUAGGAAGCAACUGGCACUCUCUAAUACUACCCGAUUCAACCCUGUGGGGACGUCCCAUAUUUGAAAGCUCUCGGCACGGGCGCCAAUACACCGUCUACCCUUAAACAAUUACAGGCCAACAUCUCUUGAACUGUGAACUGAAUUAAUUUUACGUAGUUGGUACACACAUCGGCACUACCAGAGAAAAGCCGCCUCAGGCCCUUCACUUGUGCCAAAACCCAAUACAAACUGCAUUCAUCCUCAAGUCCUAGUGAAGAACUAGUGAAGAUCGAAGAACUGGCAAGGCAACGAAGAGAAGAGCGAGAAUAAACACAUACAAUCGGUGGUAUAAACGAAUCAGCGACGACGUUGGAGUGGUGAAAUGGGGAAGGAAAGGGUAUUCGAAUUUAUCAGAACUAGGGCACCCAAAACUCUAACGACUCAGGAGCACUGAGUGGGCUAUGAUAGUGUUGUCAACGUCCACGGCUACUAUGGUCACGUCUACUACGUUGGCUCGAAUCUACCCUCGAGUUGCUUCUAGAGCCAGCAACGAUACAAAGCAAAGUACAACUAGUCAUCACCUCGGGUCAACCCUGCUAGCCCCUAGAUCGUCAAUCCAAUAGAAGAAAAGAAAACCGAAGCAGGCAUCAGCCUGAUACACACAUAAGACUUACUACAUACUAAAUAUACAAGUAACACACUUCACCGCUAACAUUCGGUUGAGAAAUAGGGU